AAAUUUUAUAAUGGUAUCAUUCUUUCUUAUAAUUGCGUCGUUUGUGGCAUAGAAAACGCUUUCAUUUACGGCUUUUGAUUGGAGUUAAAUUUUACAACUUACUAUUUUUUUAUGUUUGAGUAAUUAUUAUUAAUAGUAGAGCGUCAUUAAAAGAAGGGAGAAAGUAAGAAAAAAUUGAAUAUGGGUCGCUAUAGAAGUCGUAGUCGUGAUAGAGAUAGGAGACGUAGAUCUCGUAGCAGAUCUCGUAGUAGAUCACCAAGAGAUAGAAGAAAUUGGGGUAGCAGUGGAGGCAGAGAUCGAGGUGGUGGUAGAAAUAGCCGUGGGCAACCUGGAGCAAAUUUAAGAAAACCUAGAUGGGAUUUAAGUCGAUUAGAACCUUUUAAAAAAGAUUUUUAUGUACCACAUGAAGCAGUUCAAAACCGUGAUCCACGCAUAGUUGAACAAUACAGAAGUGAAAAAGAAAUUACCCUUAAGGGAAAAAAUAUACCUAAUCCUGUAUUUACAUUUGAAGAAACAGGUUUUCCAGACUAUGUUCUGAAAGAAAUUAAACGACAAGGUUUUACAGAACCUACAUCAAUACAAGCACAGGGUUGGCCAAUUGCUUUAAGUGGAAGAGAUAUGGUAGGAAUUGCAUCAACUGGUUCUGGAAAAACACUGUCUUAUAUACUUCCUGCAAUUGUUCAUAUUAAUAGUCAACCUAAAUUAGGUCGAAAAGAUGGACCUAUUGCUUUAGUUUUAGCUCCAACACGAGAGCUUGCACAACAAAUUCAGCAAGUUGCUGAUGAUUUUGGUCAUUCCUCUGGCAUUAGAAAUACAUGUUUAUAUGGUGGAGCACCAAAAGGUGCACAAGCUAGAGAUUUAGAUGGUGGUGUAGAGAUUGUUAUAGCUACACCUGGUAGACUGUUAGAUUUUCUUGAAUCAGGACGUACAAAUUUAAAAAGAUGUACCUAUUUAGUAUUAGAUGAAGCAGAUAGAAUGUUAGAUAUGGGAUUUGAGCCUCAAAUUAGAAAAAUCAUAGAACAAAUUAGGCCAGAUAGACAGACAUUAAUGUGGUCUGCUACAUGGCCUAAAGAAGUAAAAAAUUUAGCUGAAGAUUUUCUAAAAGAUUAUGCUCAAAUCAAUGUUGGAUCUCUACAAUUAGCUGCAAAUCAUAAUAUAUUACAAAUCAUUGAUGUAUGUCAAGACUAUGAAAAAGAAAAUAAAUUGAGUACUCUUUUAAAAGAAAUAAUGGCAGAAAGUGAAAAUAAAACUAUUGUAUUUAUUGAAACAAAGCGCAGAGUAGAUGAAAUCACAAGAAAAAUGAAGAGGGAUGGCUGGCCAGCUGUUUGUAUACAUGGUGAUAAGACACAACAAGAAAGAGAUUGGGUUUUACAAGAUUUUAGAUCGGGAAAAGCGCCAAUUCUUGUCGCAACAGAUGUUGCUGCUCGUGGACUUGAGGCACAUUGCGCGCAGACCCACGCCGGGUAAUGCAAAGCAAAUUGGGGGUGCCCGCCGCCUGUUUGUUCGGUGGUGCACUAGUUUGCAUUGUCUGCGCUGGCUGCGACGCGUGCCUCUAUACGUCAAUUACGUGAAGGGCCAGUCCGGGCCAAAUCGGGAUCUACUUUACCUUCUACAUACUGGAUAUCAGUUCUACGCUACGCUGUACGCCAUCUGGGCUGGCCAAGUCGUUGUUGCCAGAAUAGAAUCCCCUGCGCUGGCCGCUCAAGCUAAUCAGACCCAACAACGGUCCAAUGAGGCGGUGGCAUGGUAGCUGAUGCCAGAGCCUCUAAGUGUGCCCUGUAGCAACAGAAUGGCGGAGGCUGUAGCUGGAGCGAGCGCAAACAGCCAGGCCCUGCCCACGUUGAAGACGUCAAGUUUGUCAUCAAUUUUGACUAUCCUUCCUGUUCGGAAGAUUACGUUCAUCGAAUCGGUCGAACAGGACGUCGGCAAAAAACUGGUACAGCCUAUACCUUUUUUACACCUAAUAAUUCGAAUAAGGCUAACGACCUAAUCCAGGUAUUAAAAGAAGCGAAUCAAGUUAUAAAUCCAAA
rnacentral:misc_RNA from 1 species